rnacentral:rRNA from 1 species
UUGAACGCUGGCGGCAUGCCUUACACAUGCAAGUCGAACGGUAACGGGCCUUCGGGUGCCGACGAGUGGCGAACGGGUGAGUAAUACAUCGGAACGUGCCCGAUCGUGGGGGAUAACGAGGCGAAAGCUUUGCUAAUACCGCAUACGAUCUACGGAUGAAAGCAGGGGACCGCAAGGCCUUGCGCGGACGGAGCGGCCGAUGGCAGAUUAGGUACUUGGUGGGAUAAAAGCUUACCAAGCCGACGAUCUGUAGCUGGUCUGAGAGGAUGAUCAGCCACACUGGGACUGAGACACGGCCCAGACUCCUACGGGAGGCAGCAGUGGGGAAUUUUGGACAAUGGGCGCAAGCCUGAUCCAGCCAUGCCGCGUGCAGGAUGAAGGCCUUCGGGUUGUAAACUGCUUUUGUACGGAACGAAAAGCCUUCUUUUAAUACAGGAGGGUCAUGACGGUACCGUAAGAAUAAGCACCGGCUAACUACGUG